rnacentral:lncRNA from 1 species
GACUAAGGCAACAGUUUUACAUAACUAUAAGAGGAAAACAACUGAAUACAAGAAACACUAAACUGAAAUGAAAAUAAAAGCAUACAUACAAAGAAAUGGAAUAUACUAUAACAACUGCCAUACCUCCUGACUUGAACAGGAAAUUUUAAGAAAAAAAGGUGGGUCCAUAAUCUUGACUUGUAAAAAAAAAAUGGUGGAUUGAACCUUGCUUUUUGGCAAGCCAAACCUUCCACAUAAAUGGCAAUAUACAUAAUUCCGCUGAAAUGAUAACAUGAUUUGAGAGGAAUACUGUGCAAUCAAAUACACGAACACUCAACAUAGAGAAAAACGUAACUCAAUAAUAUAUUAGUACAUUACAACAUCUAAACCGCAGAAUAACAACAAACACCACCCAUGAUUUUACGAAAGCACACCAGGACACCACAAACGAAGAAUAAACUGCGCGUAGCAUGAAUGGAUCAACAACACAAAAAGUGACAUUUUUUUUGUUACAUUUAUAUGAACACAGGUAAAUUUCAAAAAAGAAAACAUUUAUCUGUUUUAUUUAUAGACACGUACAAGAAAACUUAAUGUGGAUUGAUUAGCAUACUAUUUCCAUGACAUGUUUUUUUUUGGGACAGAAUGAAUAAUACUAGUGUACAUGUUCAAUUCGAACGACACAGGGC